rnacentral:rRNA from 1 species
UACGAAGGGGGCUAGCGUUGCUCGGAAUUACUGGGCGUAAAGGGCGCGUAGGCGGCUUGGUAAGUCGGGGGUGAAAGUCAGCGGCUCAACCGCUGGACUGCCUUCGAGACUGCCUGGCUUGAGCAUGGUAGAGGCUGGCGGAAUUCCAGGUGUAGCGGUGAAAUGCGUAGAUAUCUGGAGGAACACCGGUGGCGAAGGCGGCAUCCUGGACCGGUAUGGACACUGAGGCGCGAAAGCCAGGGGAGCAAACGGG